AACGAACGCUGGCGGCAGGCCUAACACAUGCAAGUCGAACGAGAAGCCACCUUCGGGUGGUGGACAGUGGCAGACGGGUGAGUAACGCGUGGGAACGUGCCUUUCGGUUCGGAAUAACCCAGGGAAACUUGGGCUAAUACCGGAUACGCCCUUCGGGGGAAAGAUUCAUCGCCGAAAGAUCGGCCCGCGUCGGAUUAGCUAGUUGGUGGGGUAAUGGCUCACCAAGGCGACGAUCCGUAGCUGGUCUGAGAGGAUGGCCAGCCACACUGGGACUGAGACACGGCCUAGACUCCUACGGGAGGCAGCAGUGGGGAAUAUUGGACAAUGGGCGAAAGCCUGAUCCAGCCAUGCCGCGUGGGUGAAGAAGGCCUUAGGGUUGUAAACCCCUUUCAGCGGGGAAGAUAAUGACGGUACCCGCAGAAGAAGUCCCGGCUAACUCCGUGCCAGCCGCCGCAGUAAAAC
rnacentral:rRNA from 1 species